GAUGAACGCUGGCGGCGUGCCUAAUACAUGCAAGCCGAGCGAACGGACGAGAAGCUUGCUUCUCUGAUGUUAGCGGCGGACGGGUGAGUAACACGUGGAUAACCUACCUAUAAGACUGGGAUAACUUCGGGAAACCGGAGCUAAUACCGGAUAAUAUUUUGAACCGCAUGGUUCAAAAGUGAAAGACGGUCUUGCUGUCACUUAUAGAUGGAUCCGCGCUGCAUUAGCUAGUUGGUAAGGUAACGGCUUACCAAGGCAACGAUGCAUAGCCGACCUGAGAGGGUGAUCGGCCACGCUGGAACUGAGACACGGUCCAGACUCCUACGGGAGGCAGCAGUAGGGAAUCUUCCGCAAUGGGCGAAAGCCUGACGGAGCAACGCCGCGUGAGUGAUGAAGGUCUUCGGAUCGUAAAACUCUGUUAUUAGGGAAGAACAUAUGUGUAAGUAACUGUGCACAUCUUGACGGUACCUAAUCAGAAAGCCACGGCUAAUUACGUG
rnacentral:rRNA from 1 species